AUUGAACGCUGGCGGCAUGCGUAACACAUGCAAGUCGAACGGUGUUUGGUGCUUGCACCAGACAUAGUGGCGGACGGGUGAGUAAUGCGUAGGAAUCUGUCUUAGAGAGGGGGACAACCCGAGGAAACUUGGGCUAAAACCGCAUAUUCUCGAGAGAGGAAAGCAGGGGACCGGAAACGGCCUUGUGCUCUAAGGUGAGCCUACGUCGGAUUAGCUAGUUGGUAGGGUAAAAGCCUACCAAGGCGAUGAUCUGUAGCUGGUCUGAGGAGGACGGACAGCCACACGUGGGACUGAGAC
rnacentral:rRNA from 1 species